rnacentral:rRNA from 1 species
GACGAACGCUGGCGGCGUGCUUAACACAUGCAAGUCGAGCGGGGACUUCGGUUCUGGCGGCGGACGGGUGAGUAACGCGUGGGAAUGUGCCCUUCUCUACGGCAUAGCGCUGGGAAACUGGGAGUAAUACCGUAGACGCCCUAUUGGGGAACGAUUUAUAGGAGAAGGAUGAGCCCGCGUUGGAUUAGGUAGUUGGUGGGGUAAUGGCCUACCAAGCCGACGAUCCAUAGCUGGUUUGAGAGGAUGAUCAGCCACACUGGGACUGAGACACGGCCCAGACUCCUACGGGAGGCAGCAGUGGGGAAUAUUGGACAAUGGGCGAAAGCCUGAUCCAGCCAUGCCGCGUGUGUGAAGAAGGUCUUCGGAUUGUAAAGCACUUUAAGUUGGGAGGAAGGGCAGUAAGUUAAUACCUUGCUGUUUUGACGUUACCAACAGAAUAAGCACCGGCUAACUUCGUG